AUAUAUAUAUAUAUAUAUAAAACAAAAGACAGGCAACCGUGAGUUAUGUGGAUAUACAUUGUAGCCCUAAGGAUUAAUCUGCUGGUUGUCCUGCAGAAAAGUUCAGGCCCUUAGUCCCAUGGCAUCCAAGACUAGAUGGCAACAUCUUUAUCUCAGAAGAAAGGAAAGGUCAUGAAGGAGUGAACUACAAACAUGAGUUGCAGAGAUUUAUCACCAUGAAGUGAACAGUGGAACAAGAUAUUGUCAAAGCAGUGGGAGAUUUUUAAACAUUGACACAAAUAAGAUGAAACAUUCACCUGAAAAAGAAACAUCAGAUAAAGAUUAAAACUUCUUAUUGAAAGCCAUGCACUGCGUGAUGGAUGAGCACAGAUUCAUUCAAAGCACAGCACACUAGUAAACUGUAAUCUCUGGAAGAAGACAGCAUAUAUAUUCAAAACUUCCCAUUAGUCAA